UUGACCUCGGAUCAGGUAGGGAUACCCGCUGAACUUAAGCAUAUCAAUAAGCGGAGGAAGAUC
rnacentral:rRNA from 1 species